rnacentral:rRNA from 1 species
GAUGAACGCUGGCGGCGUGCCUAAUACAUGCAAGUCGAACGAGGCGCUUUUGUAGCAAUACGAGAGUAUCCUAGUGGCGAACGGGUGAGUAACGCGUUGGUGACCUGCCCCAGAGUGUGGGAUAACAGUCCGAAAGGAUUGCUAAUACCGCAUGUGGUCAUGAGGUUUAGAAACUUAUGACUAAAGCCGUAAGGCGCUUUGGGAGGGACCUGCGUCCCAUCAGCUAGUUGGUGAGGUAACGGCUCACCAAGGCGACGACGGGUAGGGGACCUGAGAGGGUGGCCCCCCACAAUGGAACUGAAACACGGUCCAUACACCUACGGGUGGCAGCAGUAGGGAAUAUUGCUCAAUGGGCGAAAGCCUGAAGCAGCAACGCCGCGUGCGCGAUGAAGGUCUUCGGAUCGUAAAGCGCUUUUCUGCGGGAUGAGAAAGGACAGUAUCGUAGGAAUAAGUCUCGGCUAACUACGUGCCAGCCGCCGCGGUAACAC